CCUACGGGUGGCUGCAGUGGGGAAUAUUGGACAAUGGGCGAAAGCCUGAUCCAGCCAUGCCGCGUGUGUGAAGAAGGCCUUCGGGUUGUAAAGCACUUUCAGUGGGGAAGAAAGCCUUGGGGCGAAUACCCUCGAGGAAGGACAUCACCCACAGAAGAAGCACCGGCUAACUCCGUGCCAGCAGCCGCGGUAAUACGGAGGGUGCGAGCGUUAAUCGGAAUUACUGGGCGUAAAGCGCGCGUAGGCGGUCUGAUAAGCCGGUUGUGAAAGCCCCGGGCUCAACCUGGGAACGGCAUCCGGAACUGUCAGGCUAGAGUGCAGGAGAGGAAGGUAGAAUUCCCGGUGUAGCGGUGAAAUGCGUAGAGAUCGGGAGGAAUACCAGUGGCGAAGGCGGCCUUCUGGACUGACACUGACGCUGAGGUGCGAAAGCGUGGGUAGCAAACAGGAUUAGAUACCCCAGUAGUC
rnacentral:rRNA from 1 species